UUCUGUAAGCCUGCGAAGGUGUGCUGUGAGGCAUGCUGGAGGUAUCAGAAGUGCGAAUGCUGACAUAAGUAACGAUAAAGCGGGUGAAAAGCCCGCUCGCCGGAAGACCAAGGGUUCCUGUCCAACGUUAAUCGGGGCAGGGUGAGUCGACCCCUAAGGCGAGGCCGAAAGGCGUAGUCGAUGGGAAACAGGUUAAUAUUCCUGUACUUGGUGUUACUGCGAAGGGGGGACGGAGAAGGCUAUGUCGGCCGGGCGACGGUUGUCCCGGUUUAAGCGUGUAGGCUGACUUUCCAGGCAAAUCCGGAAAGUUAAGGCUGAGGCGUGAUGACGAGGCACCACGGUGCUGAAGUGACAAAUGCCCUGCUUCCAGGAAAAGCCUCUAAGCAUCAGGUAACAUCAAAUCGUACCCCAAACCGACACAGGUGGUCAGGUAGAGAAUACCAAGGCGAUUGAGAGAACCCAGGUAAGGGAAAU
rnacentral:rRNA from 1 species